rnacentral:tRNA from 1 species
AGUGGUAUAGCUCAGUGGUAGAGUGUGUGCUUAACAUGUACAGUGUCCUGGGUACAAUCCCUAUUACCUCCA